AUUGAACGCUGGCGGCAUGCCUUACACAUGCAAGUCGAACGGCAGCACGGAGCUUGCUCUGGUGGCGAGUGGCGAACGGGUGAGUAAUAUAUCGGAACGUACCCAAGAGUGGGGGAUAACGUAGCGAAAGUUACGCUAAUACCGCAUACGAUCUAAGGAUGAAAGCAGGGGACCGCAAGGCCUUGUGCUCCUGGAGCGGCCGAUAUCUGAUUAGCUAGUUGGCGAGGUAAAGGCUCACCAAGGCAUCGAUCAGUAGCUGGUCUGAGAGGACGACCAGCCACACUGGAACUGAGACACGGUCCAGACUCCUACGGGAGGCAGCAGUGGGGAAUUUUGGACAAUGGGGGCAACCCUGAUCCAGCAAUGCCGCGUGAGUGAAGAAGGCCUUCGGGUUGUAAAGCUCUUUUGUCAGGGAAGAAACGGUCGUGGCUAAUAUCCAUGGCUAAUGACGGUACCUGAAGAAUAAGCACCGGCUAACUACGUGCCAGCCGCCGCAGUAAAAC
rnacentral:rRNA from 1 species